rnacentral:misc_RNA from 1 species
CCCAACUAUCCCUAUUAAUCAUUACGUUGAUCCUAAAAACCAACAAAAUAGGUUCGAACGUCCUAUUUCAUUAUUCCAUGCUAAUGUAUUCAAGCUAAUGCCUGCUUUAAACACUCUAAUUUUUUCAAAGUAACAGUCCUGAUUUCCCAUAACACCAAAUUAAUGACAUCAUGGUUCGUCAGAAGGGAGAAAUCGAUGACGACAGUACGUACCGAAGGCACGACCGACGUAUCGAUCCCGAAAUUCAACUACGAGCUUUUUAACUGCAACAACUUUAAUAUACGCUAUUGGAGCUGGAAUUACCGCGGCUGCUGGCACCAGACUUGCCCUCCAA